UUAAAUGAGCUUGGUUGAGUGGCAGAACAUGUGCUUAGCAUGCAAAGGGGCCCAGGUUCAAUUCCUGCCAUUUCCACUUUUAAA
rnacentral:tRNA from 1 species